rnacentral:rRNA from 1 species
GACGAACGCUGGCGGCGUGCUUAACACAUGCAAGUCGAACGGAAAGGCCCUGCUUUUGUGGGGUGCUCGAGUGGCGAACGGGUGAGUAACACGUGAGUAACCUGCCCUUGACUUUGGGAUAACUUCAGGAAACUGGGGCUAAUACCGGAUAGGAGCUCCUGCUGCAUGGUGGGGGUUGGAAAGUUUCGGCGGUUGGGGAUGGACUCGCGGCUUAUCAGCUUGUUGGUGGGGUAGUGGCUUACCAAGGCUUUGACGGGUAGCCGGCCUGAGAGGGUGACCGGCCACAUUGGGACUGACAUACGGCCCAGACUCCUACGGGAGGCAGCAGUGGGGAGUAUUGCACAAUGGGCGGAAGCCUUAUGCAGCAACGCCGCGUGCGGGAUGACGGCCUUCGGGUUGUAAACCGCUUUCGCCUGUGACGAAGCGUGAGUGACGGUAAUGGGUAAAGAAGCACCGGCUAACUACGUG